GAGUUUGUAAGGGAUAAACGAGAACUGCUAAUUCCUCGCUUCCGUGGCCCAACUCCACGGCUAACUCA
rnacentral:tRNA from 1 species